GUGCCCGUAACUCAGUGGUAGAGUGUGAGAUUGCAAUUGUUCUUGUCCACCUAAGGCUAUGUAAGCAUCUCGAAGCCGCGUGUUCGAACCACGCCGGGCACU